UACGGGGGAUGCAAGCGUUAUCCGGAAUUAUUGGGCGUAAAGCGCCUGUAGGUUGUUUAAUAAGUCUGUUGUUAAAGACUAGGGCUUAACCCUAGAAAAGCAAUGGAAACUGCUAGACUUGAGUAUGGCAGGGGUAGAGGGAAUUUCUAGUGUAGCGGUGAAAUGCGUAGAUAUUAGAAAGAACACCAGUGGCGAAAGCGCUCUACUGGACCAUUACUGACACUCAGAGGCGAAAGCUAGGGUAGCAAAAGGGAUUAGAUACCCCUGUAGUCCUAGCCGUAAACGAUGGAUACUAGAUGUUGCAUAUAGUUUGCAGUAUCGUAGUUAACGCAUUAAGUAUCCCGCCUGGGGAGUACGCUCGCAAGGGUG
rnacentral:rRNA from 1 species